GUAGAUCCUUAAUUAUGAUUAACAACUGAUGAGAAAUUAAAAUGAAGGUGUCAUAUUCAACUGACUAUUGAGGUUUAUAGUAAUAUACUAAACAUUUGUACAGUUCUUCUGACUUUCUAAAGGCAAACGCUAGAAAUAUCAUGGAAAACUUUAUUUACAAAAACAAAAGUUCCAAAAAAACCGGAUGCGUUUUAUGUAUCAAGUCUUGAUUAAUCAUAAUUCGAUAGUUACAAAAUGUCUUGAUCAUCUCGAGUACAGAGUAUCCAUGCACUUGUCACCUCAUUGAAAUUAUAUUUAAAUGUACUAAGACAAUGUCAAAUUUUGUACAAAUACUCACAAAAUUUUAAAUAAAUAUAUUACAGAU
rnacentral:sRNA from 1 species